UGGGGAAUCUUGCGCAAUGGGCGAAAGCCUGACGCAGCAACGCCGCGUGCGGGAUGAAGGCUCUCGGGUUGUAAACCGCUUUCAGGAGGGACGAAAAUGACGGUACCUCCAGAAGAAGCCCCGGCCAACUACGUGCCAGCAGCCGCGGUAACACGUAGGGGGCGAGCGUUGUCCGGAUUUAUUGGGCGUAAAGAGCUCGUAGGCGGUUUGGCAAGUCGGGUGUGAAAUUUCGAGGCUCAACCUCGAAACGCCACUCGAUACUGCCAUGACUGGAGUCCGGUAGAGGAGUGCGGAAUUCCUGGUGUAGCGGUGAAAUGCGCAGAUAUCAGGAGGAACACCAACGGCGAAGGCAGCACUCUGGGCCGGUACUGACGCUGAGGAGCGAAAGCGUGGGGAGCAAACAG
rnacentral:rRNA from 1 species